AAGUUCGUAACAAGGUUUCCGUAGGUGAACCUGCGGAAGGAAUCAAUUAUCGAAUUAUAAGCGAGGGCUUGUCGCAUGGCCUUCUUUCGAGGCAUGUGCAACACCCUGAGCCUCUUAAAAUCCACCAACAACACCUUGUGAACCCCACCGAUAGGGCCUUACGGGCCUUAUGUAUUCAUAUACUCUGGAAUGUGUCAUAGAAAUGUUUCAUGUUUGCCCUUAAAAACGCAAAUCAAAUACAA
rnacentral:misc_RNA from 1 species